rnacentral:piRNA from 1 species
UAGGAAGGUUUUGAUGGAAAUUUUCCCAGG